AUCUAGGAACAUAUCACCCAAAACACACCCGAUCUCAGAAGCUAAACAGGGUUGAACCUAUUUAGUCCUUGGAUUGGACAGUGGAACAAAGCAGGGCUCUGCAGAGC
rnacentral:rRNA from 1 species